rnacentral:rRNA from 1 species
UUAACGGCCGCGGUAUUUUGACCGUGCGAAGGUAGCGCAAUCACUUGUCUUUUAAAUGGAGACCUGUAUGAAUGGCAUAACGAGGGCUUAGCUGUCUCCUCUUUCAAGUCAAUGAAAUUGAUCUCCCCGUGCAGAAGCGGGGAUAAUCUCGUAAGACGAGAAGACCCUAUGGAGCUUUAGACACCAAAGCAGAUCAUGUUAAACACCCUUAAAUAAAAGACUAAACAAGAUGAAACCUGCCCUAAUGUCUUUGGUUGGGGCGACCGCGGGGAAACACAAAACCCCCACGUGGAAUGGGACUACCCGUCCUACAGCUACAGAGCUCCCGCUCUAAGCAACAGAAUUUCUGACCAAUAAGAUCCGGCAAAGCCGAUCAACGGACCGAGUUACCCUAGGGAUAACAGCGCAAUCCUCUUUUAGAGCCCAUAUCGACAAGAGGGUUUACGACCUCGAUGUUGGAUCAGGACAUCCUAAUGGUGCAGCCGCUAUUAAGGGUUCGUUUGUUCAACGAUUAAAGUCCU